AUAUUAGUUGUGAAAUAAUAUUAYCUAUUUCCCUAUCAAUAAUAUUAAAAUUUUGUAUAAAACUAGGGUUAGUAGCCUAUUAUGAUCAAGGUAAAUUUUUUAAGGUAUUAAAAGACUAGUCUCUAAACCUAAAUAACAUGGCAGUAUUUUACCCCUUGCAGAGGAACUUGAAUAUUAAUUAGAUAGUCCUCUAUUAUUCUUACUUAAUUUUAUUUUGUGUGUGGUUGUUAAAAUAAAUAUAAAAUUAUAAGUUUUAAAUCAGAUGACAUGUAUAGAUAAUUAAGGUAAUUUUAGUUACAAUUAGUAAUUUUAUUAAGUUUAAAUAUAGGAUUUGCAAGUAUUAAAAAAAAAAUAUAAGAAGAGGUUUUAAAAUGUGUACAU
rnacentral:rRNA from 1 species